rnacentral:rRNA from 1 species
CGUAGGGUGCGAGCGUUAAUCGGAAUUACUGGGCGUAAAGCGUGCGCAGGCGGUUUUGUAAGACAGAUGUGAAAUCCCCGGGCUCAACCUGGGACCUGCAUUUGUGACUGCAAGGCUAGAGUACGGUAGAGGGGGAGUGGAAUUCCGCGUGUAGCAGUGAAAUAGCGUAGAUAUGCGGAGGAACACCGAUGGCGAAGGCAAUCCCCUCGGACCUGUACUGACGCUCAUGCACGAAAGCGUGGGGAGCAGACAGGAUUAGAUACCCUGGUAGUCCACGCCCUAAACGAUGUCAACUGGUUGUUGGGUCUUUACUGACUCAGUAACGAAGCUAACGCGUGAAGUUGACCGCCUGGGGAGUACGGCCGCAAGGUUG